ACUUAGCAGAGAUGCUUUGGUGCCUUCGGGAACUCUGAGACAGGUGCUGCAUGGCUGUCGUCAGCUCGUGUUGUGAAAUGUUGGGUUAAGUCCCGCAACGAGCGCAACCCUUAUCCUUUGUUGCCAGCGAUUCGGUCGGGAACUCAAAGGAGACUGCCGGUGAUAAACCGGAGGAAGGUGGGGAUGACGUCAAGUCAUCAUGGCCCUUACGAGUAGGGCUACACACGUGCUACAAUGGCGCAUACAAAGAGAAGCGACCUCGCGAGAGCAAGCGGACCUCAUAAAGUGCGUCGUAGUCCGGAUCGGAGUCUGCAACUCGACUCCGUGAAGUCGGAAUCGCUAGUAAUCGUGGAUCAGAAUGCCACGGUGAAUACGUUCCCGGGUCUU
rnacentral:rRNA from 1 species